rnacentral:rRNA from 1 species
UACGUAGGGCGCAAGCGUUGUCCGGAAUUAUUGGGCGUAAAGGGCUCGUAGGCGGUUUGUCACGUCGGAUGUGAAAGCCCGGGGCUUAACCCCGGGUCUGCAUUCGAUACGGGCAGACUAGAGUGUGGUAGGGGAGAUCGGAAUUCCUGGUGUAGCGGUGAAAUGCGCAGAUAUCAGGAGGAACACCGGUGGCGAAGGCGGAUCUCUGGGCCAUUACUGACGCUGAGGAGCGAAAGCGUGGGUAGCAAACAGG